rnacentral:rRNA from 1 species
GACGAACGCUGGCGGCGUGCUUAACACAUGCAAGUCGAACGGAAAGGCCCUGCUUUUGUGGGGUGCUCGAGUGGCGAACGGGUGCGUAACACGUGAGUAACCUGCCCUUGACUUUGGGAUAACUUCAGGAAACUGGGGCUAAUACCGGAUAGGAGCUCCUGCUGCAUGGUGGGGGUUGGAAAGUUUCGGCGGUUGGGGAUGGACUCGCGGCUUAUCAGCUUGUUGGUGGGGUAGUGGCUUACCAAGGCUUUGACGGGUAGCCGGCCUGAGAGGGUGACCGGCCACAUUGGGACUGAGAUACGGCCCAGACUCCUAAGGGAGGCAGCAGUGGGGAAUAUUGCACAAUGGGCGGAAGCCUGAUGCAGCAACGCCGCGUGCGGGAUGAAGGCCUUCGGGUUGUAAACCGCUUUCGCCUGUGACGAAGCGUGAGUGACGGUAAUGGGUAAAGAAGCACCGGCUAACUACGUG